rfam:Sediminispirochaeta smaragdinae DSM 11293 chromosome, complete genome.
AAAGCAGGCCGGGCGGCCGCCGUUUCUUUGUGGAAAUGGAGGAAAGUCCGGGCUCCGCAGGACAGAGUGCCGGGUAAUUCCCGGGGACGAUUUUGCGUCGUCACAGAUAGUGCAACAGAAAGUAUACCGCCUAUCCGAUUUGGUUCGGAUGGGUAAGGGUGAAACGGCGGGGUAAGAGCCCACCGCCUUUCCGGCAACGGUAAGGGCACUGAAAACCUCACUCGGAGCAAAGCCAAGCAGCGGUAGGGUGGUCCGCUCGAUUCCGCGGGUAGGCUGCAUGAGAGGAUCGGUAACGGUCUUCCCAGAUAGAUGGCCGUCUAUAACAGAACCCGGCUUACAGGCCUGCUUUUUUU